AUGGGAGCUGGGGGCUCUGUGGAUUACAGACUACUCAACUCUAUUACAAUCAAGAAUAAGUUUCCUAUGCUAGUGAUAGAGGACUUGCUAGAUGAACUACACGGGGCUACAAUUUUCAGUAAAUUAGACCUCAGGUCUGGAUACCACCAAAUCAGAAUGGCAAGUGCUGACAUACCAAAAACAACAUUCAAAACUCACAUGGUUCACUAUGAAUACAUGGUUAUGCCCUUUGGGCUAACUAAUGCUCCAGCAACUUAUCAAAGUUUCAUGAACACCGUUUUUGCACCUUAUCUCAGGAAAUUCAUCUUGGUCUUUUUUUUAAUGAUAUUUUGGUCUACAGCAGGACAUUAG
rnacentral:rRNA from 1 species